rnacentral:rRNA from 1 species
UGUGGUCCGGUGCACCUUUCUCUGUGGUGAACACCACGACCCGGUGGUAUUGCCAGUCUGCUGUGUCCAAGUUGUGCUCGGUAGGUCGUCAUGGCCAACCGGGUGCAGCGAUCACACGCAAACUCAGUAAACGGCGUAGAGGUGUUUCGGCAUUUCUGCGUGUUAUCGGCUACUGGUUGUGAACGGGCCUGCUCGGUGCUUGUUGUAGUUGGCAUCGGGUGGCUCGGUGGGACACGGUGGUAAGAAUAACUGUGCAAGGCACCGGAGUUCGCGGCCUCAAAUGCAUUCUGCGCCCAGGCUACAACUGGUUUGUGGGUGGCGCCGUUGCUGUCUGCCCGGUCUUGUUGGGUCUGAUCGUCGUGUUGUCUGCGUAAAGUGGACCCGGCGGUGGCUCGACUCGGGAUGGGCAGUUGGCGGUGUUGCCAGUGCAGAGUGCUGUGGGCCCAAUAGUCAGUGGUGUAGUGGUAGACGAGCUACCCGACCCGUCUUGAAACACGGACCAAGGAGUUUAACGUGUAUGCGAGUCAAUGGGCCCUACGAAACCCAAAGGCGCAGUGAAAGUGAAGCUCCGACUUGUCUCGGGGUGAGGUGAGAUCCUGCUGUUACUCGCAUCAGUCUAAUGUGUCAGCAUCAGGCUAAGAGCAGUGGGCGCAUCACCGGCCCGUCCCAUGACGUGGUCAUUGGAUGUCUGCGGCGGCGGCGGCGGCUCUUGUCGUCGUCUUCGUCGUGGUGCCAGUGCGUCGUCCGGGGCGGUGCAUGAGCAUACACGUUGAGACCCGAAAGAUGGUGAACUAUGCUUGCGUAGGUUGGAAAGCCAGAUUA